CUGUAUGUAUAAAAUACUUGAUUUGCAUUUGCCAAUGAUUUCAUUGACUCAAGAGAUCUAAACUCAUGAACUCUUCUGUGGGACAGUUUUGAGAGAGGAGACUUUCUCCAUAUGGCAUGUUCGUAUAAGUGAUGUUUUAAGUUUUCAGAUGCAAUGCUAAUAUCCUUUGCUGUUGUGCUCCAUGGUUCCUCCUGGGCUUGUAUUCAAAGAUCCAGAAUCAUAUGGUUGGACUCCCAAGUGAAUCUCAGUGCAUGACAGUGCCAAGAGUUUUUUGGACUGAUGGUGAGCGUCACAUGACCUUGAUUUAAUGGCUCCCUCUGGUGCAAUCCUCGCACAUUCUCCAGCUUUCCACACAUGGCUGAGCUGCUCUGUGCGUUCUACAGAAAUGUCUCUGAAGAAAGAAUUUUUGCUUUGCCCUACUUAGGAUUGUUAAACUUUUGACCCAAAUAUGCUGUGGAAAUGCUGUUCUAACACUGCUCCAGCUGGCCUGACCGGUUCGGAAGACCACAGAGGCACAUCCCUUUUCAUUUUGUGGGGCGGUCCACGCUUCUCACUGCUUUCCUGCCUCUUUAUCCCCACUCUUUCAGUGUGAGUGUACGUGUGUGGUCCCUGCCAACAGGUUUGGCCGCAGCAUGUGCUAAUGGCCAGUGAAGAUGUGAAGUAUAGCUGACAGGGUCUGGUUUGUGCCCCACAGCCACAUCUAGAGAGACUUUUUUUCCUAAACAUGAGGUUAAUGGAGCAGACAGGUUAUGUGUGGCAGGCCAUCCACCCAGUGGAGGUCUAACUGUGACGGUGGAUGAUUGGACUAAACGCGUGUUUGUUAGGAUUUCAGGAAGUUUUCUCUGCUUUGUUGAUGCUAACUUCAGCCAUGCAGCAGGUAUGUGUAUACACGGUCUGAUAGUCCAAAAGAAAUCCUCCAUACACUUUUAAAAUAAAUGUUCCAAAGGUGA